GGGUGGCCAGCCUCUCAGGGAGAGUAUGAUGUGCUCUACCUGGGGACAGAGGAUGGACACCUCCACAGAGCUGUGCGGACUGGAGCCAAGCUCAGCGUCCUUGAGGAUCUGGCCUUAUUCCCAGAGCCACAGCCAGUUGAGAAUAUGAAAUUGUAUCAAAGCUGGCUCCUGGUUGGCUCCCGUCCUGAGGUAACACAAAUGAACACAACCAACUGUGGACGUCUCCAGAGCUGCCCAGAGUGCCUCCUGGCCCAAGACGCUGUCUGUGCCUGGAGCUUCCGGCUAGCUGUGUGUGUGGCCCAUGCUGGGGAGCAUGGAGGGCUGGUCCAAGACAUAGAGUCAGCGGAUGUCUCUUCUUUGUGUCCUAAAGAGCCUGGAGAACUCCCAGUAGUGUUUGAAGUUCCUGUGGCUACAGCUGCGCAUGUGGUCUUGCCAUGUUCCCCAAGCUCAGCCUGGGCAUCCUGUGUGUGGCACCAGCCCAGUGGAGUGACUGCUUUUACCCCCCGGAGGGAUGGGUUAGAGGUGGUGGUAACCCCAGGGGCCAUGGGUGCGUACGCUUGUGAAUGUCAAGAGGGUGGGGCAGCCCAUGUGGUAGCAGCUGAUAGCUUGGUAUGGGGCAGCCAGCAGGGCCCCUCAAGCUGGGCCCACACUGUGGGGGCUGGACUGGCUGGCUUCUUUCUGGGGGUUCUUGCAGCAUCCCUGACUCUCCUCCUGAUUGGUCGACGUCAGCAGCAACAGUAACAGAGGGAACUUCUGGCUAGAGACAACGUGGGCUCGGACCUGGGGGCACCGCCAUCUGGGACCACAAGCUACUGCCAGGAUCCUCCCUCUCCCUCUCCCUCUCCUGAAGAUGAGCGGCUGCCCCUGGCUCUAGGCAAGAGGGGCAGUGGCUUUGGUGGCUUCCCUCUACCUUUUCUGCUUGACUCUUGCCCAAGCCCAGCCCAUAUUCGGUUAACUGGGGCUGCUCUGGCCACAUGUGAUGAAACAUCC